GAGUAACACGUGGGUGAUCUGCCCUGCACUUUGGGAUAAGCCUGGGAAACUGGGUCUAAUACCGAAUAUGACCACGCGCUUCAUGGUGUGUGGUGGAAAGCUUUUGCGGUGUGGGAUGGGCCCGCGGCCUAUCAGCUUGUUGGUGGGGUAAUGGCCUACCAAGGCGACGACGGGUAGCCGGCCUGAGAGGGUGACCGGCCACACUGGGACUGAGAUACGGCCCAGACUCCUACGGGAGGCAGCAGUGGGGAAUAUUGCACAAUGGGCGCAAGCCUGAUGCAGCGACGCCGCGUGAGGGAUGACGGCCUUCGGGUUGUAAACCUCUUUCAAUAGGGACGAAGCGCAAGUGACGGUACCUAUAGAAGAAGGACCGGCCAACUACGUGC
rnacentral:rRNA from 1 species